ACACGACUACAUUAGAUACCCGCGUAGUCCAGGGUGUAAACGCUGCGGGCUUGGUGUUGGGGGUCCUUUGAGGGCGCCCAGUGCCGGAGAGAAGUUGUUAAGCCUGCUGCUUGGGGAGUACGUCCGCAAGGAUGAAACUUAAAGGAAUUGGUGGGGGAGCACCGCAACGGGAGGAGCGUGCGGUUCAAUUGGAUUCAACGCCGGACAACUCACCAGGAGCGACGGUUACAUGAAGGCCAGGCUGAUGACCUUGCCUGAUUUUCCG
rnacentral:rRNA from 1 species